rnacentral:rRNA from 1 species
AGAGUUUGAUCCUGGCUCAGGACGAACGCUGGCGGCGCGCCUAACACAUGCAAGUCGAACGGAGCUGAGAGGAGCUUGCUUUUCUUAGCUUAGUGGCGAACGGGUGAGUAACGCGUGAGUAACCUGCCCUGGAGUGGGGGACAACAGUUGGAAACGACUGCUAAUACCGCAUAAGCCCACGGUACCGCAUGGUACUGAGGGAAAAGGAUUUAUUCGCUCUAGGAUGGACUCGCGUCCAAUUAGCUAGUUGGUGAGGUAACGGCCCACCAAGGCGACGAUUGGUAGCCGGACUGAGAGGUUGAACGGCCACAUUGGGACUGAGACACGGCCCAGACUCCUACGGGAGGCAGCAGUGGGGGAUAUUGCACAAUGGGGGAAACCCUGAUGCAGCGACGCCGCGUGGAGGAAGAAGGUUUUCGGAUUGUAAACUCCUGUCGUUAGGGACGAUAAUGACGGUACCUAACAAGAAAGCACCGGCUAACUACGUGCCAGCAGCCGCGGUAAAACGUAGGGUGCAAGCGUUGUCCGGAAUUACUGGGUGUAAAGGGAGCGCAGGCGGACCGGCAAGUUGGAAGUGAAAUCCAUGGGCUCAACCCGUGAAUUGCUUUCAAAACUGCUGGCCUUGAGUAGUGCAGAGGUAGGUGGAAUUCCCGGUGUAGCGGUGGAAUGCGUAGAUAUCGGGAGGAACACCAGUGGCGAAGGCGGCCUACUGGGCACCAACUGACGCUGAGGCUCGAAAGUGUGGGUAGCAAACAGGAUUAGAUACCCUGGUAGUCCACACCGUAAACGAUGAUUACUAGGUGUUGGAGGAUUGACCCCUUCAGUGCCGCAGUUAACACAAUAAGUAAUCCACCUGGGGAGUACGACCGCAAGGUUGAAACUCAAAGGAAUUGACGGGGGCCCGCACAAGCAGUGGAGUAUGUGGUUUAAUUCGAAGCAACGCGAAGAACCUUACCAGGUCUUGACAUCCGAUGCAUAGUGCAGAGAUGCAUGAAGUCCUUCGGGACAUCGAGACAGGUGGUGCAUGGUUGUCGUCAGCUCGUGUCGUGAGAUGUUGGGUUAAGU